CGUUAGUGUCAGCCUUAACAAUAACAACAGGGACCACUGACAUCUGGCUGAGAUGAGGCCCACCUGAAUCACUUCUGAAAAUGGCCGCAUUGGCAAGCUUGACUGUGGACAAAGGAAUAAACCAAAGACUCCAUGGAAGACAUUUUGUUCAUCAAACGCACUCUGGAAGGCAGAUAUUACAAGGUGCUCUGCAAUGGGAGGAAGGCUGAGCCCACUUCCAGGUUUGAGUGACCAGAGGGGCCCAGUCCCGAGUUCCCUCUGUUCACCUUGCUGUGCCAGACACAGGAAAGCCGGGAGAACACCACUUGAGAAGAGUACAGAGUGCUGAGGAUGCUGGGUAAUACAACUGGAAUCUUCCAACGCAUCUUCAGGAAAUCAAU